rnacentral:rRNA from 1 species
GUGGGGAAUAUUGGGCAAUGGGGGAAACCCUGACCCAGCAACGCCGCGUGAAGGAAGAAGGCUUUCGGGUUGUAAACUUCUUUUACCAGGGAAAAACACAAUGAUGGUACCUGGAGAAAAAGCUACGGCUAACUACGUGCCAGCAGCCGCGGUAAUACGUAGGUGGCAAGCGUUGUCCGGAAUUACUGGGUGUAAAGGGCGUGUAGGCGGAACUACAAGUCAGGGGUGAAAACUAUGGGCUUAACCCAUAGCCUGCCUUUGAAACUGUAGUCCUUGAGUGCUGGAGAGGCAAUUGGAAUUCCUAGUGUAGCGGUGAAAUGCGUAGAUAUUAGGAGGAACAUCAGUGGCGAAGGCGGCCACCUGGACCGGUAUUGACGCUGAGGUGCGAAAGCGUGGGGAGCAAACAGGAUUAGAAACCCCGGUAGUCC